UGACUCUCCAGCUAGAUACACACUAGUAAGAACUUAUUUUGACAACAUACUUCAUUAUCAUCUCGAAUAACAUCACAAAAAGAUCAAAAAACAAGUAAGAUUAGCACAUUUAUGGGCAUCCAAAUCAUUUCCUGCCCACAACAGGUAAUAAUCCAUCUAAAUUCUUACACAUAUAGAUUAGGGUUAAUCGGCCACAAAUACGAAGAUCCAGCAGCUUAAAAAAGGGGCAAUUGAACUGGCAGCAAUAAUUCAAGGGUUUCCCAUCAAAAUCAAGAUUUCGAACCAUUUCUUCAAUAAAUGAUCUAAUUACCAAUUGAUUCAUUAAUUCAGAAAGGAAGAGUUGAUAUCCACAUACCCUUUUGAGUGAAGUCUUGUUGGAGAGCAGGGAUGGAGCUCGAGUGAAGAAAUGGAAGGGAAAGAGGAAAAAUCGAAUCUUUAUAUUAGUAUGGAGGGAAGCGGUGAAGGCGGCGGGGAUUCAUAGCGGCUGCUCAUCGGAGUCGAGAGGGAGACGGUGAUAGAGGCUUGAGAGAUGAGGGAGGAUGACGGCGGUCCGGCUGACCGUUGCUGUCGACUGAAGAAGAAGAUGGUGGUUCAGGCGGUAAUCUCGUCGGAAAUUGAAAGGGGAGAAAGCUAGGGAUUUUUGGGGAUUUUUCAUGAUUUAGAGAGGGAACGAGAGGCAGGCAGAUGCGAGGCCUACAGAGGGGAUACCGUGGCAGUGGUGGCUGGCGGCGACAGUAGCCGCCGGGUUUGAAGGGAGUAAGGCAGUGGCAGAGAGAAGAAGAAGAUAGGAGUACCGCGAGAGAGAGAGAGAGUGGUGGGUGAGACUUCAAACUUAGGAGAAGAAGGUGAAUUAUGUAAUUAGGGUUUUUAUUUUUUAUAAUAUUAUUAAAGUUAAAAUUAAAAAUAAAUAUAAAAAGUAAUCAUAACAGUAUUUUAGCGCUCAUACAUAACGGUUAAAACAACCAUUAUAAAAAUACGCUCAUAGAUAACGGUUAUCUUAACGGUUCGAUAACACCGUUAUGUAUGCACCUAAUAGAUAACGCUUAUUCAUAACGAAUUACUUCGUACCGUUAUC
rnacentral:lncRNA from 1 species